rnacentral:lncRNA from 1 species
GGGGGGUGAGGGAAGGGCAGGGGGUGGUCAGGCUCUCCACCACUGCCCGGGUGCCCCUGAGACGCAGUGCAGCUGUGCCAGGCGUGAUGUACACGGCCACACGGGGUCCUUGGGCAGGUGUUGGUGGCCCUGGACUCCUUCAUACCACCCCCCCCAGGUCCCUCCCUACCCACAGAGCUCUCUGGAGUUCCCCAGGGAUGGGCGGCCAGCACCUGGGGAGGCUGGUGGGGAGCCCCUCAUCCUGGGUCAUGUGGGGUGACAUCAGACUGCCCGCAUUCUGGAAAGGGAGGCUUUCUUUGCCCAUGUGGGGGCUCUGAGGGCAGCGCCCCCUUCCCUCUGCCCCACCCCUGCCCGUGCUGGGGCUGCAGCAGGGUCUGGAGACAAAAAAGAGGCCGGUGGGGAUGAGGGGAGAUGUCCAGAUGCGAGUCACUCCUGGGCUCCUGGUAGCCAACCUUCCCCCUUCCCCAUCCUGCAUCAGCCACUGUUCGAGGGCCAGAGGACGGACUCAGCUGUGGUCAACAGCCAAACGCCACCUUCUUCACACAGGUGGCAUCAGGUGAUAUUCCUAUGACCUCUACUUCCUCCUUCCAAGUCUGCUCCUGUGCCUGUCAGCUCGUCUCCAGAACCAGUCAGCCUUGCUCUGAGUCCCCUGGGUGUGGGUCACCCUGGCCUCCCCAGACCCUGGAUGGGCCCUCUGGGACACAGUGCCCACAGACUGUCGGGCACAAAAGUGCUGGGCUUCCCAUUAUGUCUGACCCCCAUGUUCUACCUUCUGUUCCCAGGUAUCACAGCCCUUCUGAGUGAUCCUUGAAUUCUGGAACAUUCUACCUUAAGGAAGGGAAGAAGGGGAGAUGAAGUCAACUGUUCUGACCGCAAGUGCCGUCUUGGCUCUGUAUCCCCAUCCCAAAAUGUGAGCUGCUUCUUUCAAGUUCAAAAUCUCCACAAACACGAAGCCUUGUUAGCAGAAUAUCCUCUAUUUGCUCAGCGCGUCACAGGCACUUUAGCUACGGUGAGUUCACGCCGCGAGCGGCCUCAGAGAAGGGGCCUGUGUGUCCGGCCGGGCCUUUCAGACCCGCACUGCACCCCUGCGUCCCACUCACCAGCUCCGUGGGGGCCACCGUGCUGGCUGCACCCAGGGCAACCCCACCCAGUGCUACUGGGAUGUCCAGGAAACCGGGCACCUCUUGCCCCGGGGCCGAGUCGGGACCUGAAUCGGGCACUUCAGUUCCACCACACGCAUGGCUGGAUCCAACCAAGGCUGCACGCUGUUGCCCCACUGACGUAUCCCCUCACCCCCACU